UACGGAGGGAGCUAGCGUUAUUCGGAAUUACUGGGCGAAAAGCGCACGUAGGCGGCUUUGUAAGUUAGAGGUGAAAGCCUGGAGCUCAACUCCAGAACUGCCUUUAAGACUGCAUCGCUUGAAUCCAGGAGAGGUGAGUGGAAUUCCGAGUGUAGAGGUGAAAUUCGUAGAUAUUCGGAAGAACACCAGUGGCGAAGGCGGCUCACUGGACUGGUAUUGACGCUGAGGUGCGAAAGCGUGGGGAGCGAACAGG
rnacentral:rRNA from 1 species